CGAACGGGUGAGUAACGCGUGAGCAACCUACCUUAGUUACUGGGAUAGCCCGAGGAAACUCGGAUUAAUACCGGAUAUUCUUAUUUAAUCACAUGAUUUUUUAAGGAAAGGUCAGCCGAACUAAGAUGGGCUCGCGUUCUAUCAGCUAGUUGGUGGGGUAAUGGCCUACCAAGGCUACGACGGAUAGCUGGUCUGAGAGGACGAUCAGCCACACUGGGACUGAGACACGGCCCAGACUCCUACGGGAGGCUGCAGCAGGGAAUAUUGCGCAAUGAGCGAAAGCUUGACGCAGCGACACCGCGUGUGGGAUGACGGAUCUAGGUUUGUAAACCACUUUCAGGAGGGAAGAAAAUGACGGUACCUCCACAAGAAGCCCCGGCCAACUACGUGCCAGCAGCCGCGGUAAUACGUAGGGGGCGAGCGUUGUCCGGAUUUAUUGGGCGUAAAGAGCUCGUAGGCGGUUCAACAAGUCGGUCGUGAAAGUUCAGGGCUCAACCCUGAAAUGUCGAUCGAUACUGUUGUGACUAGGAUACGGUAGAGGUGAGUGGAAUUCCGAGUGUAGCGGUGAAAUGCGUAGAUAUUCGGAGGAACACCAAUUGCGAAGGCAGCUCACUGGGCCGCUAUCGACGCUGAGGAGCGAAAGCUAGGGGAGCAAACAGGAUUAGAUACCCUGGUAGUCCUAGCUGUAAACGAUGGAUAC
rnacentral:rRNA from 1 species